rnacentral:misc_RNA from 1 species
GAUGAAGAACGUACCGAAAUGCGAUAAGUAGUGUGAAUUGCAGAAUUCAGUGAAUCAUCGAAUCUUUGAACGCACAUUGCGCCUCCUGGUAUUCCGGGAGGCAUGCCUGUUCGAGCGUCAUUAAAAUCACUCAAGCUUAGGUUUACCUAUUGCUUGGUCUUGGAGAUGGAAGCCAAUUUAUUGGAAUCCUCUUCGAAAUUCAAUGGCGAAGACCCUUGCUCUCCCAAGUGUAGUAAUAACUUAUGUCACUGAAGGAAGCGAGAAAUCUUCUGCCGUAACCCCCAUAUUUUCUAUGAUUGACCUCGGAUCAGGUAGGGAUACCCGCUGAACUUAAGCAUAUCAAUAAGCGGAGGA